GGGAAUGUGGCUUAGUGGUAGAGUGAUUGCCUAGCAUGCAUAAAGCCUUGGGUUCAAUUCCUCAAUACCA
rnacentral:tRNA from 1 species